UCCAGCUCUCUUGAUCCUGGAAGAAAAUAACUUCACUUGAAAAUAUGAAGCCUCAAGGGUCCAAAUAAGAAAACAGAUGAAAAAUACUCCAAAUACUUUUGGAUCUUUCUAGCCUUUCAUGAGCAAACUUUGGGCCCAAGAAAUGAACUCUCUAACAUAUGCCAUUCAAAUGGUUCAAAAUAUUGAGUGAAGAAUGUUCAUCUUUCACUAACUGGAGUAAAGGCUUUUUACUUUGCUGUAUCUCUACCCCCUGAGCCCUGGAGAGUUCAUGGAGUUCCUUGGCUGCUAUGAAAUCAGCAGAUUGAUGACAUCCUGCUGUACAACCUCACAGGGACUGUGUGUGGUUUAAGGGUCCAAUUUGAUACGUGUACAUGACCCUGGGCUGCUCCUGGUGACCUGAGCGCAAAGUCCAUCUGCUACUAAGGAUGACUGCUGUAAUAUAGUGACUGAACCUGGUCAUUAACUGCAUCAGGCUCCCCUCUAGUCAAAAGUAUCUUCCAAAGAGACAACCUCAAAAUAUUCUGAGAAUCUGCCCUGGGGGAAGGAACUCUCCAAACCUCCUGUUAAGAUACCACCACAGCACCUCAUUUUAGCGAGUGCCCAGGAGUGGGACCAGUCACGGUGGAAGCCACAAGGGAGAUUUCUGUAGAUCAGAUGGGAAAUCACUGGAUGCCCUCAGGACUGGGCCUGAUCCAAGCCUCACUGAAAUCCAUAGAAAUGAGUGGACUUUCCUUUACAUCAGCGAGCUUUGAAUUGGUUCCUUCCUCGCUCACUGGUAACGUCAGGAGCCUGAGAUGGGUCUUGGAGGCCUUUUGGCAGAGCACUUGGGCACAACCGCGCUUUCCUUUUUAAUCCUGCCCUCUGACGAUGCUGUCGUUGAUGUAUGGUGAUGGCUGGAGCCCCGAGAUGGAAUGGAAUGGGGAGCAUAACAAACUGGAAAAUGCACACUGAUUUAGGAGUGAAUGAGAGCGUUCCCAGAAGUGCUGAAAUUCAAUGGGAUUUAGAAUCCCAAGGACCCUAUUAUUUUGCAAAAUGGGCCACAUGCUUUCAAGACAUUUGGGCAGCUCUGAAAACUUCAUCCAUCACUUCUAUGGAGAGCAGUGUAGACCUUAUGUAAUAUCACAGGCAACAGCCAGAACUGUUGAGAGUAAAACCCACAAAAUGGCCUGAUCUUCUAUUGUUUCUGAAGGUGUGAAUUCCUCUUUUCCUGAUAUUAAGUAACUUUUGGGUGUUGUCCUUUUUUGCUAAAAGAGGAGUCUGCUGUAUAUUGCAAAAAGAUGUUUAUAAAUUCCCUCACAUGCCUGUCAAUCCAGACAUCCCUCCUUAUUCCUGUUAUGUUUAUUUAUAUAGACACAUAAAAAACCUAACAAUCUUACACUUAUUAAUCAAGGUGAUUCAGCCAUGCCUCCCACUGUCUUCCUCUGAUUCCAAUCUUAUUCCAAAAUACAGCCCUAAAUGUCACUGGGGUUACUCAUAAAACACAGUGCUGCUCUGCAUGAGUAAGGCUAUUUGAAUCUGGCCUGGAGUAAAGUUACUAAUUCUCAGUGAGGAGCAGAGCUAGACAAAGAUUGCAAAAUAUUGUCCACUAAUCUGUUCUUGAAUUUUUAAACAUAUUUUUUGGUCUCUGUUCACUCGUGGAUCUCUGAGCUAAUGAACUUGCUGACAGGAAUGUUCACCAUAACAACCCAUUUACAGCAAAUAUUGCAAGAUCUUUGCACUCUUCCCUUCAUUCAAAAUAAUACCAGUCUCCCUCCCCAAGAAAUGACCUUCCUGUUUCAGAGUUUUGUCACUAAUUGUGAAUAUUCACAUUGGUGAGAUGUUUUGUUUGUUUUACUAAAUCCUCUUCCAGCAAGAAAACCGAAUUAAACCAAUUGAAGUCGAAUUUAACAAAGAAAGACCUCCGAGCCCCGAUGCCAAGGGAAAGGAUGGUCCUAAAGCUGGAGCUGCAGGGAGAUGAGGAGGUCAGUCCUCAAUCCACCAAGGGUUCUGCUGCUCUCCAUCUUGCAGCACGCAGAAAUGUGAACAGCUUCCAGGACCUCAGAUACGCUGGGGUGUGCACGAGGGAUGCAUAACACUGACAAAUCAUCCGCUUGUGACCCAUCUAUAAAAAAAAAAGGUGUAGAAAUGAUUUAGUUACAAGUUCUUUACCUAAAGAUGUCCUUUCAUCUGCUGGUGGAUAUGUUCUUCGAGGAGAUUAUUCAUGGAGCAAGGUUCUAAAAUAAAAAUUGAGGAGGAUGGAGCAAAGCUGGGCUUUGGUGAAUACAUCUAAACCCUAGACACAUUGCAAAUAAACUGAGCUUGUUCCCAGGCAACUCCCAAGUAGAAAAUAGGCACAACUGUUCCGAAUGAUUUUCUCUACGAUUUGUUUACCUAGCUGUAGGGUCUUCUUCAGUCAGGCAAAAUCAAAGGAGAGACAGCUAUUGACCUCAGCUUGCUUUGAAUCUGGCUUGUAAUGAGAGCUAUACCCACACCAAGCUUCAAAUUCCAAGCAGCUUGAUGUGGCCUUUUACAGAGAAAAAAAAUGGUUAGAAUUUUUAUUACAAUAAGAAAAUGCAAUUUUUCAUUCUCUCCUCAUUUCAGAAGGUCUGAAGGGAUUUUACUCAACUUCCUCUUCUACCUUCAGGCAGAGACCAAAUCUGAGAAAUUGCAGCCCAAUUUUGGAAAGUUCUCAGGAUGUGAAAAUCAGGGGCUCAUGAUGGGAAGCUGCUGUUCAAUACACUUUGUUGUCAUGAGUGCUUCUGGGGAUCCACUGCUGACCAUGUGCCCCCUUCACCCUCACUUUGUGCUGUUUUAUAUCCUUCCACCAUCUGAUCAGAAUGAUUUAAAAACAAAAAAGUGUCUGAUCUGAAAGAACAGUAGGAGGCUUUGCCCUGUUGGGACCAACAUGGUUAGGAUGUAGUCAAGAUCUGGUCUUGCAGAGGCUGGGAAUUAUCUGGCAUCUUCUAGAGUGUGACAUCCAGCAGAAAAACAUAAAUCUUUUCGCUGCCUGAAACUCGGCAAGGUCAAAUGCAGUCUUGCUGUUAAUCUGGCACUGAAUUUAGCUGCCCCAGACAAAACUGCAGGGGCAGCUCAGGAAGGAGAGAAAUGACAGCUAAAUUCAGGGGUCCUUCCUUGAGACAAAGUCCUGAAACUGUUGUCCGGGAUUUUGAUGAUGAAAGGUGUAAUAGAGUUAGUAUUGAUCUGCUUUUGCAACGUUCAGUGUGUGGUGUGCCCUUAUCAAGAGUAAAUGUGAACCUUACAAAUAUCUGAACGCAGUUGGUAUUAUUUUUGAGCCCAAUUUAGGUAUCCUUGUUAGACAUUUUGGCAAAAUUCAUCAGCAGUAUGGAAAAGAGUCCAUAGAACUGGAAAAUUUUGCUGUAAAUUUGCUGUUGUUACAUCCACCAAUUUGGAAAAAGUCAGUGCAAAGGCACAAUCCUUAAAAUAAAUAAAAGAAAAUGUCUCAUAGCUGCCAGCAGGCACUGGAGCUCCCCAGCAGAGGCUGCCUGGGAGCAGCACAAACUGUGCACAACUCCUCAGCCCCAGUAAACAGCAGCUUGGUGUUCUCCCUCCCUGGGAGAGAUGUGCUCUUUGCCAUUGCUAUAGGUUGCUGAUACUUCAAUCUCUUCCCUGGCUGCAGACACCUACUCCUAAUUUGCCAUCCUGGGCUAACUCCAGGAAGAGCUGGAGGAGACAGAAGGUGUGAAUGGACAGCCAAGACCGAGCAGAGCCAAAGGACUGGCUUGGCUCUGGAAGGCAAAAUGCAAGCUGAGCCAUUGGAGCCGGCUGUACACAGAUGAGAAGGAAAAUGCACAAAGUGAUAAAUAACUUUGCUUAGGCUGCCAGGAAGGGCUGCCAGAACAUUCUCGCUUGGCUAUGCUCUGACUUGGCUCGCCUGCCGCCGCCAGCCCCCCUCCUGCACAGACGAAAUUCCGGGCCAGAGCCACACAUGCAUCUCAGGGCAGGCUCACCACGUCCACCCCCUGGCCAGCCAGCCCCUCGGGCAGCAGCCUCUGCCUGUGCCUCUCCCGCUUGGAGCCCACCCUCCACCUGCAUGGGCACCCCAGAGGUUCACCUGGCAGGAGGGCAUGGAGGGACAGAAGCGUGAGGUGUGCCAUUAGCUUGGGUUGUUUUUGGAGGAGCCACCUCUCCCAAAGCUUCCCUGACAAUCUGGAUGGCAUCUGCCUCUAGCAUCACCCUACAGUGCUGCCUCCACAGGCAGCAAAAACCCUCUUUAUGCAGGGUCAUCUCCGCACCCUUUCCCUCCAAACACAAGGAGCACACACAGGUGAUACGGAUGGUUUCACCAGAUGUGGUUGGACACUGCAUUCUCACCCCAGAGUGCCUGGCAGUUUGCAGAGCAGCCUCAGAAGAAGGGCUGGAGUCACAGCAGGACAUGUGCAGAGCAGGGAUGAGCUGCCACCGCCACGCAUGGCAGCACACAAAUCAAAGCAGCGCUUUCUCCAGUGCUGUGGGGUGCUACCAGCUUCAUGCCUCACUGGAGUGGAAGGAGAGAUGGAUAUUUCAGAGGAUUUAUCAGGCAAAAAGAAGUGUCGGCAUUUCUCGGUUUCAUCUGGCAGCUCCAGCUUGAGGAAAGCUAUUGUUGCAGGAUUUCCAACGUCUCGUUGCCUUUCUGAUCUGUGGUGCACAUUGAACAUAUGUCUCUGUUUAGUUGCCCAUUAUUUAACCUAGAUUUUUUCCCCCCUUGAGAGAUUACAGUGAAUUCAGGGCACAUGAAUGGUGUAAUUUAUCAUUUUCCAAUAUAGACUGUCAUGCACUUAUAUAUAGUGAAAAUAAUUUGUUGUCAAGUUAUCCAGUUGUCACCUCAUUUUAUAUGCUUCAUAAUAAGCUAUUUGUAAUGAUCCAUGCUCGUCAGAAGUCUAAAUAACCAAAAUAUUGCCAUCUCACUACAGAUAACUACUAAAUAUUUCCAACAGCACUGAAUCAUCCUGAUCCCUGGGAGAGCUACGUCCACAUUUUUACAGAAACAGUUUGCUACCCAUUCUUGAAAAUCCCUUUUUAAGAGUGUCCAAAUUUCUUUUGAAACCCUAUAGAAUUUGGA